UGGGGAAUAUUGCACAAUGGGCGAAAGCCUGAUGCAGCAACGCCGCGUGAGUGAUGACGGUCUUCGGAUUGUAAAGCUCUGUCUUUGGGGACGAUAAUGACGGUACCCAAGGAGGAAGCCACGGCUAACUACGUGCCAGCAGCCGCGGUAAUACGUAGGUGGCAAGCGUUGUCCGGAUUUACUGGGCGUAAAGGGUGCGUAGGCGGACCUUUAAGUGAGAUGUGAAAUCCCCGAGCUUAACUUGGGGGCUGCAUUUCAAACUGGAGGUCUAGAGUGCAGGAGAGGAGAGUGGAAUUCCUAGUGUAGCGGUGAAAUGCGUAGAGAUUAGGAAGAACACCAGUGGCGAAGGCGACUCUCUGGACUGUAACUGACGCUGAGGCACGAAAGCGUGGGGAG
rnacentral:rRNA from 1 species